rnacentral:lncRNA from 1 species
AAUGAUAGUGCUUGUAUUAAAGGAUUUGAUCUAAUUUGUAAAAUGGUUUUUUUUAUUCAGUUGCGGUACAUCUUGUUUGGUUUGUGGUUCUUCAUCGCCACAUUGUGCCGAUGCUGCGAUUCAUGUCUGGAUUGUUUUUUUGGAAUUGUGAGGCGAUCGUUGAAAGAAGAUGAGCAUAUCAAGAGUUCGCCGUGAGUCAAAGGUGACCAGCAAAUGAAUUAUUUGUCUGGAAGUAGCUCCGCGAUUUUGUCAAAGGGAUUCUAUGGUGUGUUUUGCGGACAAAAGACUGGUGUAUACUUGUCUUCGUCGGAGUGCGAGGACCAAGUCCGCAGAUAUCGAGGAUCGAGGUACAGAAAAUUCAGGGAAUUUGAGGAGGUAGAGUCGUUUGUGAGAGGUGACUUACAUUAGCAUGUUUCGAUCUUGUAUGCCCAUUUCUUCUUAAAGUUAAGUAAAUUGCUGUUUUUCCAUCGGUUUAGUGAGAAGAUCCGCGAUUUGUUUUUCAGUGGGUAUGUAGAAAAAGUCUACCACUCCUGUAAGCAUGUUGUCUUAGAUGUAAUGGACCCACAUCUCCAUGGGUUUUGAUUUAUCAUGGAAGAAAGGAUUGCGUGCCGAUUGGAGUGUGCUUUGGCUAUCAUAGAAUAACAAGAUGGGAUUUGGAACUGUGCCAUGGAUUUGAGAACAUAGUGUUUGAAGCCAUAUUGCCUCUUUGAUCCCUUCGGCCAAAGCCUAGGCUUCUGCAUCAGUGGAGGACACAGCCACUGUUAAUUGUUUUUUCAAUGCCCAAGAGGCUGGACCACCUGCUGAUUUGAAGAUCUAUCUUGUGAUGGAUUUUCAAUUGAUUUGGCAGUUGAUCCAAUCCGAGUCUGUAUAUCUCAACACAGUGGGGCUUUCAUUACGUCUACAGAAGAUCCCGAGAUUCAGUGUUCCUUCCAUAUAUCUGAGUAUCUGGUUAGCUGGGCACUCUCGGACUGUGCUUGAAUUUGCUGAGCACCCCUGUGGUGAAUAAAAUUUCAGGUUUUGUGUUAACUAAGUGAAUCAACAUACCAAUGAGUUUCUGGAACUUUUGGGCAUCGACCAAGGGUGAACUCUCCUCUUAACUGAGUUUCAAACCUAUUGCCAUAAGAACCGUUAACGGUGUGCAAUCCUGCGUACCAAACUCUGUCAAUAGAUGGGAAAAGAAGGUCUCCUUUGGAUGUCGGAUGAACUCUACACCCAAGUAGUAGUUGAUGUUCUCGGGGUCCGACAUUUCAAACCUUUUCAUGGGUUCUGUCUUGAUCCACAGGAUUUUUUGAGAGUUUGAUCCUGUGAGUAAAAGGUUGUCGACAUAGAGGAUUAGAAAUGUGACUCCUUAGAGUCUUGGAGGUAGUAUAAACUGCAGUCCGGUUCAGUACGUGAGAGACCAUGAUUGUCUAGAAAUGUAUUGAUUUUCUCGGACCAUGUACAAGGAGCUUGUUUGAGCCCAUAGAGGGAUUUCUUCAGUCGACAAAUUUUUCUGUAUGUGAUAGUGUCUCGGAAGCCCUCUGGAACUUCCAUGUAAACGGAUUCCUUGAGGUCACCGUACAAGAAUGGGGUCUUAACAUCUAAAUGGAGGAUCGGCCAUUGAUGACUUGAAGCAAGUGCAAUGACAGAGAGAACGACUUUCCAUUUGGCGACGGGGGCAAAGUCUUUGUCAUAAUCGAUACCUUUCUUUUGCUAGAAGCCAUGAGCAACGACUCUGGGCUUUCCAUCGGAUCCUGGUUCUACGGAGAAAGUGACGCUAUCGUGAAGGCGGGAUGAUGGCUGUCGUGUCCGAUUUGGCAUUUGCUGCAACUGCAGCGACGGGGCAAUUUUUACGGGUGGCGCAAUGUAGUUGAGUGGUGUGGCAUGACCUGUUGGUGGCAGCGCCUCCAGCGGGGUGCUACUGGCGAAGUGAGCGGGAUUGUGUUGGAUCGUAUGGUCCGGUGGUAGCGACCUUGUUUUUUUUGGAAUUAGUGGUUUCUGCGGGGCUUGGUUGCUCGGUUGGAUCAGGGGCCAAGAUUCUCGUGGAAUGUGAGGCAAUUGGUACUUGAAUUAUGUCGAGGUGGAAUGGUCAAAUUCAAUUUAGAAUGCUAGAUUCGUAAAAUCUAAUGUUUCUUGAGAUAACUAGCUUGUGUUUGGAUGGCACCCAAAUGCAGUAACAUUUGGUGUUUUGGUCGUAGCCGACAACAAGGCAUGUUUUAGAGAGCAGCUAUAGUUUGUCGUGGUACUCCUUUUCUACCCAAACAUGUACGAUAGAUCCAAAAAUCCGCUAAAAAGAAACAUCAGGUUUUUUAUAAUAGAGGCGUUGGUAUGGUGUUACCUCAAGAAGAGCCUUGGUGGGUGAUUGGUUAAGAAUAAAAGUUGCGGUGUUGACAGAUUUUAUCCAAAGAAAACUGGGUGUGAUGGCUCGAGUGGUCAUGUUAUGCGCCAUGUCAAGAAGAUUGCAGUUCGUUUCUACUCGUCGACUAUGACUAGCAUGCAAUCGGAACCACCUGGAGAUGUGAUCGGGAAGGGACCACACAAUUCUAUGUGAGGUAAUUCAAGAAUUUUAGUUGACUUUGUAACACUCAUUCUGGAGAAUGCUUCUUGAUGUUGCUUGCCCGCUUGACAAUGUUCGCAGACUUCUUUGUGUACCGAAAUGUAUGGAAUUCCAUCAACCAUGUUUUGAGCUGAUAGAUCAUGAAGUCUCGGGUUGAUAGUGUACCCUAGCUUGUAAUGCCACAACCCGAUUGUGUGUAGUUCCGUCUAAGUCAGAUUGGUUGCGAUCUCUGAAUUGCUUGUGUUGAGUUGAUACAAUCCGUUCCGUCUAUUUUGUGUACCUUUAGCUGUUAUGCGAUCAUGAGAUCCAUUGUACAAAAUGCAUUUUUAGUUGCUAAAACAUGCUAUGAGGCCUCUGUUGGUAAAGUAGCCAAUGGACAAAAGAUUCUUUUGUAAUCCAUGAACGUACAGAAUAUCAGAUACUUCUUUUAUUUCUCCCAAUGGGAACUUUAGAUGUACAAUGCCGCAACCGGCUAUCUGGUGGCUGUGACCUUCUGUUGUUUUCACAUUGCCACUAAAUCCUCCUAAGCUAUCAAAGUUGUAUCGCCCUCUGGAGACAUGUUGUAUGGCCCCGGAGUUGAGGUACCAUCUUGGAUCGUGGUCGUGAGCAUUCAGUGAAGAAAUCGCUGCUUCAAAUAGCUGGUCAUUGCUGGUUUCUUCGAGAGGAAUGGGGUCAAUAUUGUCAUCAAGUUUGGCCAUGAGGUCUCAUCGUGAACUAUGUUCGCGGAUUGAAAACGUAAUCCUAGCUUUGACAUUUUGUCCGCUUUGAGUUUCCUUAUGUUACUAAGUCUUUUGGGAUACAUAUGUUUCGGAUGACCAUGUUUUCAACAGUAUGUGCAUUGAAUUGUGUUCGAUUAUCUUAGCGUACUGGAAUAGCCGUGGUGAGAGCUGAAAGUGCCAUAAUGACGAUGAGAUUAACUGCUUUUGUGGUUCAGGCGGAAGUAGAGAGCUUUGCGAGUAGUGUUUCGCCUUUCGGGUCUCGUUCAUCUACGGCUCUCCUCGAGCGUGAACCGAGACUGAAGUUUAUCUGGGAUGGGGUAACCUCCGCCGCUGGUGUAGUUACUCAAGAAGUUUUCGUAGGAGUCAGGUAGAGCUUUGACAACAAUUUGAACAAGACCAGAGUCAUCUACUUCGACCCCUAUGGCAAAGAGCUCUGCGAGAAUGCGUCGAAAUUGUGAGAAAUAACGUUCGACUCUAUUGUGCUUAAAGAAUAUGAUGAAAUCAAGUCUGUUCUUCAGGCCGAAUUUUUUUCUGUCAUUUGCACAUUAAACGAGUCACGUAAAAAGUCCCACAAUUUUUUUGGUUCGUAAAAGUCAGUAACGACGGCUAGCAAGCUGGGCUUAAUCAAUAUACUGAGUAUGUACAUCGGACGUUCAUAUCUAUCAUCUUUGUAUUCCUCAUCUGUAAGGUCCUUGGAAUACUGUUUUUCCUUGCCUUUAGAAGAUGAUUUGGUUGAGGGAGGAGAUAGGAUCUCCGACAAUCUCUCUCGUUCUGUCACUCUAGUGAUCAUGUACUUCCAUAGGUGGAAGAUCUUGCGAGUUUUACCUCCUCAGGGACCACAUUGUCGUUCGGCAUGGUUUGUACUACUAGUGGAUACAAGAGAAAGAAAUAAAGAAAAAAAGAGAGGUCUAACGACUCUCUGAUACCAUGUUAGAUAAA